rnacentral:tRNA from 1 species
CAGGGAGACAAAAACUGAUUAUGAUGUCUGAUUAAAAAAUUAGGCCUUAAUCCUGUCACCUUAGGUCGAUCGGUACCUCAGACUAAAAAACAAAAAUUGUGAAAGCACUUUUAAAAAAUUUUGGUUUUAGUUCCUAAACUUGUCUAGGUCACACCCAACAAACUUUUCUCCUGGGCUAUUAGCUCAGGCGGUUAGAGCGCACCCCUGAUAAGGGUGAGGUCCCUGGUUCAAGUCCAGGAUGGCCCAUUCGUUGUUGGGGGUAUAGCUCAGUUGGUAGAGCGCCUGCUUUGCAAGCAGGAUGUCAGCGGUUCGAGUCCGCUUACCUCCACUGAAAACUAUCCUGAUAACUAAAUUUCGGAGAAAAUUUGUAGAUGUGUCUUAGUGUUGUCUAUCUGAAAAGAACCUAGCUUCUUAUCAUCUUAUAAAACAGUUGAUAAUAUGCUGGGCUCCCAUGGUUUAUGCCAUGAGAAUUCAGUAGAACCUUGAAAACUGCAUAGAUUAUAAAGAAUAAAGCAUCUCAUGGAUGCAUAAUUCUGCAUUGUUUUUUAGCUUGAAAACUAAUUAAUAACUGUAUGAAUUCAUGUUUAAUUCUUGAGUAAUAGCCGAGCACAAUUGACAUUGUGUUUGUAUUUAA